UCUUGGGUGAGUUCGUUUAGCCAUCUCCUUUACUUUUCUAACUGGUGAAGAUGAUAGUAAUCUGUCAGAGGAAGGAAACAAAUCCCUAGAUGGGCGUCUAACUCUCCUUCUUCCCCUUGUCUCGCUUAAGCCUUCAAGAAGAGGUUGCGUAUUUUUCUUGCUCCUAGUAUGUCUAAGCUCCUGCUGCAUACACAAGAAACACAAACCCUGGUAGCACUUUUAUAUAUAAAAAAAAUAAAAAAUAAAAAAAUAAAAAGAUAAAAUAUAUACAAUCAAGUCAAACUUAAUCAGUUUACACUACUAGAUAAGUUAAACCACGAGUCCCUGGCAACGGC
rnacentral:lncRNA from 1 species